CGUACCCAUGUUUUCCACGCACGUUUUUAAUAUUUUAACCGUCGAAAUUCGCGCCGAUCUUUAAAACAAUUUACCAGUGUAUAUACCGAAAUAACGUCCUCGGUCGUAAAAUUUUAUAAAUUAUAAGUAGUCCUGAUGGGGGUGGCGUCAUAUACGCUAUUGAAUAUUUAAAACAAUUAACUUGUAAGUGCAGUAACAACCCUUCGCUUUCGUCGCGGUAUAAUAAUAAUUAUCCCAUCGUCGGCCAUUCCGAAAUCCCACGCGGUUAAUUUUACGAAAAGGGCUCUCUAGGGUGGAGGAGUGCCGUUAAAAAUAAGCCGAGGCAGUGUUUAUACUCGAAAUAUUUUCGUUCACGCAAUUUCGCUCAAAAGACUCGAGUCGUUUUUUACAAUGCUUUCGU